rnacentral:rRNA from 1 species
AACGAACGCUGGCGGCGUGCCUAACACAUGCAAGUCGAACGAGACCUUCGGGUCUAGUGGCGCACGGGUGCGUAACGCGUGGGAAUCUGCCCUUGGGUUCGGAAUAACAGUUGGAAACGACUGCUAAUACCGGAUGAUGACGUAAGUCCAAAGAUUUAUCGCCCAAGGAUGAGCCCGCGUAGGAUUAGCUAGUUGGUGAGGUAAAGGCUCACCAAGGCGACGAUCCUUAGCUGGUCUGAGAGGAUGAUCAGCCACACUGGGACUGAGACACGGCCCAGACUCCUACGGGAGGCAGCAGUGGGGAAUAUUGGACAAUGGGCGAAAGCCUGAUCCAGCAAUGCCGCGUGAGUGAUGAAGGCCUUAGGGUUGUAAAGCUCUUUUACCCGGGAUGAUAAUGACAGUACCGGGAGAAUAAGCUCCGGCUAACUCCGUG